GAAAACAAAAUUAAAUUGAAAAUUAUAUAGUCUACGCAAGAAACAAAUAUUGAUAUUAUUGUUCUUCAUUAUUACAUCAAGAAUUGUGUAUAAUUAAAAAAAUAUCAACUGGAUGAAUAAUUUUCUGAUUAAUACGAUUUAUUUAAGUCUUUCUUUCUCUCUUUCUGCGCAAUACUUUUAUAUUUUAUUUUAAAGAUAAUUUUUAAAAAACAAAAAUAAUGAUAAAAUUAUAAAAAAGUUAUUUUCUAAUUAAUAAUAAUAAAAAUUGCAGGUUGCAGGAAUUUCCCCCGGCAUAAACGUUGCAUAAUACUUUACGAAUGCAAAUUCUAAAUUGUUUCGAAACAAAUUUCACUUUGAGAGAGGAAUAAUUGGUUAUUUAAAAAAUAUAAUUUGUUAUCAGUUGUGGCAAAUUAUGAGUUAUGUAAGUGGCGAAUUUAGAGAAUUUUUCGAUAAAAUUGUUGCACGAUGCGUGAAGCCAGAAUUGACCUAGUUGCCUAUAAAGCGAUAGGCAAAGCGGCCCCAGCGUCGCGACGCUAUUUUUGUUCGACGCGUCGCUAACUUUAGCCGUACGGCCGAUGGACGCUCCCUAAUAAGUUCAAGCGACGAUUAUGGUGGUCGACACCGCCGCUGCCGCCGCCACAGCCGACGACGACAGAUAAAACAUAACGCCCCUCUGCAAGGCAGCGGCAAGCGUGCCAAAAUUAUGCCUGCCCCCGCGGAAAAGGAACUAACGUGAUUGCACAGCCGAAAACCUCGACUCUAUGAUUAUGAACACGAUGACAAAGGGAUGGCGGUAAUGUUGGUUUAAUAUUAAUGCUGUUUUUCAUUCGUUCCUCGUAUCUCGCUAGUUAUAAUUCUAGAAAGAGAUGACUGUAAACUAUGUUUAAAGUUCACCGACAUUGAGGAAACUGAUCUUUAGAAGAAUGAGUAAUUUUAGAAACCAACCGAGAAAAAAGCACAAGAGUGGGAUUUACAGAGGAUGAAUCCUUUAAUGGGCAUGGAAGCAGCUACGAACAAUAUCGUAAAUAUCGCCAACUAUAAUUGGCUCGUUAAACAUUUUUCAGCACAAAAAUGAAAAUCUAUUUGGAUCGGGACAGAUCUCGCUCACUGCACGUUAUUAGGAUGAUGGAUGUACGACACAAUAAUUAUACGAGUGAUUUGACAAUAUGCCAAGAUUCGAUCUCAAUGGGUACAGAUAUGCUGCAAACUUGAAUUUCUUUUGAGGAGUCGGCAGCAAACUGAAGACUUUUUCUUAGGUGCAGUUAUUUAAAAUUUAUGUAAUUAUACAACGACAUACAUGUGGAAAGAAAUUUGACAAAAUGAAUGGCCUGAGAAAUUGUUUGUGAGGAGGAAGUGCUAUGCCAAAAGUAUGCCAUAAAUCAAAUAUGCAAGAUACGUGAGGUAAUGUAAAAGAUUAUAUAAUAAUAACGAGUGUGGUGUGACAUAAUGUAUAUUUGACUUGACUUUGACAUCGUAUAUAACAAUAUUUAUAAUAAUAUAGUAUAAUAUUUACAAAAUAAGUUAAAGUAUAGAAGUACACAUCAGUAGAGCUUAAUUGCUUUAGUUAGCAGACUGGACAAUUAUAUGUAAUACGUAUUGAGAGAUAGAUUUCUUGGACGAUGAUGAAGGACGCUCGCGCGACAGUGAAUACAGCGCGACCUUCCCGAAGUAGUCUCGAAAUUCGUUGCCAAGCACAACGUUGUCAUCAAGAUCCUUGAUAUCCUUACAUGCCCUUACACUUCUG